CCUUGUUUACAGAGUAGCCCCUUCAAUUUGUUUAGGAUGUGGAGAAACUCUAAUUGAAAUUGUUGUGAAAGAAGACAGCGGUAGUACGUUAAAAUUGGUGUUGUGCUGAAAAAUUACCUCAUCGUAUCAGUAAUUAUCAUAAAUAUUUUAAAAGCCGGACACUCGCAGAGGCAAUUGAAAAUGCAUCCAUGCGGAUGCUUCCAAACGUUGUAUUGAAGGGUAAUUCUAAACCAGCCGCAUGCUUCCUGAACGUCAAUAUUCCUUGUUGACUGUCAUCAAGUGUUAUUUUACUUUGCUUGUCGUCCUGCAUGUCCAUAGUGUUUUCUACUUGUGCUAUAUAUGUCUAUCUACGAUCAUAAUAUAAUCAUUUUCACAGUGAAAAUCUGUUCGUCCUCAGAAAUAUUCAUGGCUGAGCCACACCAACUCAUGUGCCAACUCACCUACUUAGCCAGCUCAUCCGCCUGUUUUUUCCGUUAUAUUUUUGUGGCCCAGGAUCCAAGGAGUGGGACGCUAUGGCGAGCUCGUACUACCUUUGCCCUACGUUCCUAAUCACGUAAUUUUUAGUUAAAUCGUAAAUAUUAUUAUGUAUUAAAACAAAUGACACCCUAAUUUUCUAUAGCAAUUACAAUUGCAAUAUUUUAU